AUGUCUAGAGACACCGUGCUGAUCUGCGCCUCCGUGGCCGCGCUCGUCGUGCUCUCCGUCUUCACCUUCCUCUGCUCCAGCCGGCGGCGCCAGGGACACGGCUCCUCAUCGUCGUCGCACCCGAGCGUCGACAUCGAGCUCGGCUGCCGGUGCGCCACCGCGGGUAUCGACGAGGCCGAGCUGGCCGCGUAUCCGACGUCGGUGUACUCCUCGCCAGGACGCGUCGACGACGUCCAGCCUGCCGCCGUGCCUUCGGCCGACAACAGCGAUCGGGCGCCGGACAACACGACGUGCGCGGUGUGCCUGGCGGAGUACGCGGACGGCGACGAGCUCCGGCGGCUGCCAGGGUGCCGGCACGCGUUCCACCGGAGGUGCGUCGACGAGUGGCUGCGCCGGCGGCCCAGCUGCCCGCUCUGCCGCACGUCCCCGCAGUCCACCGCCGCGAAGAAUUCCUGA
rnacentral:rRNA from 1 species